rnacentral:tRNA from 1 species
GCGGGUAUAACUCAACGGUAGAGCGUCUGCCUCCCAGACAGAAAGUUGUGGGUUCGAAUCCCAUUAUCCGCU